GUUUAUUUUUUCUACAUCUUCUCUCCCAAAGAUUGAACAGGAAAAAAGUGUAGUUGUUGACAGCCUUUCGGGGAUCUCAAGGGCCUGACCCCUCGAUCUUUCCGAAGCUGUUUUAGCAUCUUAGCCAUUGCCUUCCUUAGAAGCUAAUUCUCCUCCUCCAUCUCCAAUAAAUUUCGUUUCACACAAGGAGAAGGAUAAGAGAUACAGUCACAGAAAUGGCGGCUCUUUCUUCAAUACAUUGUCGUUCUUAUUCAUAUUCGCCCUUUUUAUUUUCUUCUUCUUCUU
rnacentral:misc_RNA from 1 species